GUCUACAGCCAUGGCACUCUGAACAAGCUCGAUCCUGUCUGAUCUCAGAAGCUAAACAAGGUUGGGCCGGGUUAGUACUUGGAUGGGAGACCAUCUAGGAAGACCAGGUGCUGUAGGCG
rnacentral:rRNA from 1 species